GUCUAGCAGAUGCCAGUAGGAAUUCAAACUGUUACUAAUUGGUUUGACUCCUUACAUGAGGGGUUCACAAGUGCAUUCCUGGAACCAUAACAACUGCAGCAUGCUACAGUGGUUAUGGUGCUUGAACAAUCAGUACUCCUGGGUGAGUCUAUGUGAAGCUUUUUAGUUGCACUUGUUAAGUAAAAAUAUUACAAGCAAAGCUUUUAAUUUUUUCAAUAUAUUUUACUGAUGCCCAAGUGCUG